CUUAUGGUGAGAGCAGCGGCCCUGGUGGAAGCGUGGUAGCCCCUAGAAGGUCCAGGAUGGAACACAGAAGCUUUCCCUUGGGAUAUGUGAGUGCUCCAGCAGUUGUAAAGAGAGCUCUGAACAUAUGUGAGUGAGGAGAGCAAUUGAGGCCUUUGGAAUGAGUACACAUCCAGGAGUGAAGAAGACAAGCUCAACUGCCAUUCUCUGAGCAGUUCAAGGCAUACUGAGUUGCGGGAGUUGUGUGGUGGUCCACUCUGACUGCAAGCACCCCUUUCUUGAACCGAACAGAGUCAAGUGGAAUCAAAGGACAUUACCUGUUGAUUCUUGGGCAAGGCCCAGAAUUUGGUGGACAUACUUAAAGAAGAAAGGAAUCUUCAGCUAAAGUGUCUACGAUCAAUUCAGAUUUGGAGGGCAUGGAUCUUCUGACAGUAGGGGCCAUUCUAGGAUUUUUUGGUUGAAGAGAUGAACUUCAACUUGGUUCCAGAUGGGUGGUCCAGCUAUUCUGCUGACAACAUUUUUCAGGGCAAGGCUUUUGCUACUGGAAUGAUUUAAGGAAGAUCCCUCAGUGUUUCAGAGUAAAGAUAUUUCUAAAGAAGUACCUGUGUCAUUGCCCAUCUUGAAGAUUGACUUUUAUGGAUUGCUCAAAUACUGAUAUCAGCUCAAUGUCAAUAUAUACUCCUACAUAUAAAAUCCAUCUUCUAAUCAUAAUCACUAGGUAAGAUGCUAGUGCAAGUUGAAGUUCUUAAAGGAGAUGACCUGAACAGCCUUCUUAGUGUACCAGGGAGACCAGAUUGAGUUUAAACUAUGUUUACCCUGCACUCAGACACGCCUAGGUGUGUCUGGGAGAUUAGUAGAUGGUGUUCAACAAGGAUCUAUUUAAACAAGGGAGACAUUAAUUUGGAUUCCUUUGGUUGUAAAUUUCCAAAAAAAAAAAAAAG
rnacentral:lncRNA from 10 species